rnacentral:lncRNA from 1 species
CAUUAAUUUAUCUGAAAUAGCUUGUAUUUCUUAAUGUAGGACAAUGUAAAUUAGAGCUAUAAACUGCUUGGAACUUCCUUCAUUGUAACCUAUGGGUUUUGAUAUGUUGUGUUUUAUUUUCACUUGAUUCUAGGGGCUUUCUUAUUUCCUUCUUAAUUUCUUACAAUUUUUUUUAAAACCUGUAUAUUUGUUUAUAUUUGUAUAGGGCUGUAUGUAUGUGUCCACAGAGCCAGAAAAGUAUGAUGGAUCCCAUGGAGCUGGAGUUACAGAUGGUUGUAAGCUGCCUAAUCAGGAAGCUGGCCAUCAAGCCUGAAUCUUUUUAAAGAGAGAUACACACCCUUAACCACUGAACGAUUGGUUUUGCUAUGUAGUCUGGGCUGGCCCCAGGCUUACCAUCCUCCUGCUGGGAUUAUCAACUAUGUGCCACCACAGCUGAUAGUCCAGCUAGAAACUGGAAACAACCUAGAUAUCCCUCAACCAAAGCAGCAAUAAAGAAAAUGUGGUACAUUUACACAAGGGAAUAUUACUCAGCUGUUCAAAACAAUGACAUCAUGAAAGUUGUAGGUAAGUGGAUGGAACUAGAAAAAAAAAUCUUAAGUGAGACAACCCAGACCCAGAAAGACAAGCGUGGUAUGUAGUCACUUAUAAGUGAAUAUUAGCUGCUAAGUAAAGGAUAAUCAUACUACAAUCCACAGACCCAGGGUUCUAGAACCCUCCAGGGAGGGUUCUUCUAGCAGGGGAUGGGGAGGUUGGGGUGUGCAUAGAUCUCCCUGGGAAGGGGGAAAUAGAAUAGGCUUUAUGAAUAGACUGGGGAUUGGUGUGGAUAGGAACAGGAUGGAUCAGGUCAGGGACAGAAAGAUGGAGGGAGAGAGUACAGGGAGAGAUGACUGGAAUUAGAGGACAUUUGGAGGUUAUGUGGAAACCUAGUGCAGUGGAAACUUCCUGGAACUAAUGAGGGUGACCCUAUGGAGGUCUCCUAGUAAUGGAGGAAACAGAGCCUGAACCAGGUAAGGUUUCUAUUGGUGGGACUGGGAUACUAACCCAGCCAUAAAACCUUUGACCUACAACCUAUCCUGCCUACAAGAUCUACUGGGGC